rnacentral:rRNA from 1 species
GACGAACGCUGGCGGCGUGCUUAACACAUGCAAGUCGAACGGAGUGAAGCCCUUCGGGACUUUACUUAGUGGCGAACGGGUGAGUAACGCGUGAGGAACCUGCCUUUCAGUGGGGGACAACAGUUGGAAACGACUGCUAAUACCGCAUGACGCUUCUUGGGGGCAUCCCCGGGAAGCCAAAGAUUUAUUGCUGAAAGAUGGCCUCGCGUCUGAUUAGCUGGUUGGUGAGGUAACGGCCCACCAAGGCGACGAUUGGUAGCCGGACUGAGAGGUUGAACGGCCACAUUGGGACUGAGAUACGGCCCAGACUCCUACGGGAGGCAGCAGUGGGGAAUAUUGCACAAUGGGGGGAACCCUGAUGCAGCGACGCCGCGUGGAGGAAGAAGGGUCUUCGGGAUUGUAAACUCCUGUUGUUAGGGACGAUAAUGACGGUACCUAACAAGGAAGCACCGGCUAACUACGUG